rnacentral:rRNA from 1 species
AUUGAACGCUGGCGGCAGGCCUAACACAUGCAAGUCGAGCGGAUGAAGGGAGCUUGCUCCUGGAUUCAGCGGCGGACGGGUGAGUAAUGCCUAGGAAUCUGCCUGGUAGUGGGGAAUAACGUCCGGAAACGGGCGCUAAUACCGCAUACGCCCUGAGGGAGAAAGUGGGGGAUCUUCGGACCUCACGCUAUCAGAUGAGCCUAGGUCGGAUUAGCUAGUUGGUGGGGUAAAGGCCUACCAAGGCGACGAUCCGUAACUGGUCUGAGAGGAUGAUCAGUCACACUGGAACUGAGACACGGUCCAGACUCCUACGGGAGGCAGCAGUGGGGAAUAUUGGACAAUGGGCGAAAGCCUGAUCCAGCCAUGCCGCGUGUGUGAAGAAGGUCUUCGGAUUGUAAAGCACUUUAAGUUGGGAGGAAGGGCAGUAAGUUAAUACCUUGCUGUUUUGACGUUACCAACAGAAUAAGCACCGGCUAACUUCGUG